rfam:Brassica rapa chromosome A8, whole genome shotgun sequence.
UAUACAAGUGAAUUUUUUUUUAAUUAAAGACAUCAAUCAACAGCAUGCAUGGCCUAAAUCAAUGUUGCAAGUUUGGCUGAUAAUACCUCUUCUUUUUAAUCCCAGAAGGUGCUUUAUUAGUAAAUUCGCUUACAUUU